rnacentral:lncRNA from 1 species
GGUUAAUUGCAUACACGUCCCUACAAAGAUAGUGAAUUGCAGAUAUAUCCUUGCAAAACUCAAUUUUCAUAAGUUGUCACUACAAAAGUCCUAAUGUAUACAGAUAUGUCCCUCUGGUUAUGUCACGCUCCGAAUUACUCGUUUUUCCGGGCACGCCGACAAAUACGCCGUAUACAAAGAAAUUUCCGCUGUAUAUGAAGCGAUGGCUGUACUUGUAUCUGUAAUCAUACAAAACUACAACUGGUAGUAUAGAGCUGCUAAACUAAAAAACAUAUAUAAAUAAUAUCAGGUUCUCAAUACAUACAUAGUCUCU